GCGGAGGAUGAUCUCAUUUUUAACUCGUAACACCAUCCGGUGUCAUGAAGAACAAAAAAUGCAACAACAAACACUCUAAUUUUUUGCUGACG
rfam:TPA: Aspergillus nidulans FGSC A4 chromosome VI